GAUCAUGGCUCAGGAUGAACGCUGGCGGCGUGCCUAACACAUGCAAGUCGAACGAAGCUCUUACGACAGAACUCUUCGGAGGGAAGAUGCAAGAGACUGAGUGGCGGACGGGUGAGUAACGCGUGGGUAACCUGCCCUAUACAGGGGGACAACAGUUGGAAACGACUGCUAAUACCGCAUAAGCGCACAGUACCGCAUGGUACAGAGCGAAAAACUCCGGUGGUAUAGGAUGGGCCCGCG
rnacentral:rRNA from 1 species